GAUGCCGGCCAUAGGCGUCGGGGUUCACCCGAACUCGUUCCGAUCUCGGAAGUUAAGCCCGAUGUCCGUCAAGGGAAGUCUGCGGUGCGCGAGCCCGUGAGAAGCCCUUGAGCUGGCACAU
rnacentral:rRNA from 1 species